rnacentral:snoRNA from 2 species
AAGACUAUACUUUCAGGGAUCAUUUCUAUAGUUUGUUACUAGAGAAGUUUCUCUGAACGUGUAGGGUACCCCACUAUGAUGAUUACAGCAGCUCACGUGACGGAUAUGGU